AGUAACGCGUAGGAAUCUGCCUUAUAGUGGGGGAUAGCCCGGAGAAAUCCGGAUUAAUACCGCAUAAUCUCUACGGAGUAAAGGGGGCCUCUAUUUAUAAGCUUUCACUAUUUGAUGAGCCUGCGUAAGAUUAGCUUGUUGGUGAGGUAAAAGCUCACCAAGGCGACGAUCUUUAGCUGGUCUGAGAGGAUGAUCAGCCACACUGGGACUGAGACACGGCCCAGACUCC
rnacentral:rRNA from 1 species